UAAGGAAUAUUGGUCAAUGGACGCAAGUCUGAACCAGCCAUGCCGCGUGGAGGAUGAAGGUCCUCUGGAUUGUAAACUUCUUUUAUCGGAGAAGAAACCCCCGAGUUCUCUUGGGGUUGACGGUACCCGAUGAAUAAGCACCGGCUAACUCCGUGCCAGCAGCCGCGGUAAUACGGAGGGUGCAAGCGUUAUCCGGAUUCACUGGGUUUAAAGGGAGCGUAGGUGGGCUGGUAAGUCAGUGGUGAAAUCUCCGGGCUUAACUCGGAAACUGCCGUUGAUACUAUCAGUCUUGAAUAUUGUGGAGGUAAGCGGAAUAUGUCAUGUAGCGGUGAAAUGCUUAGAUAUGACAUAGAACACCGAUAGCGAAGGCAGCUUGCUACACAAUUAUUGACACUGAGGCUCGAAAGCGUGGGGAUCAAACA
rnacentral:rRNA from 1 species